rnacentral:rRNA from 1 species
UACGUAGGGUGCAAGCGUUGUCCGGAAUUAUUGGGCGUAAAGAGCUCGUAGGCGGCUUGUCGCGUCUGCUGUGAAAACGCGAGGCUCAACCUCGCGCCUGCAGUGGGUACGGGCAGACUAGAGUGCGGUAGGGGAGAUUGGAAUUCCUGGUGUAGCGGUGGAAUGCGCAGAUAUCAGGAGGAACACCGAUGGCGAAGGCAGAUCUCUGGGCCGUAACUGACGCUGAGGAGCGAAAGCGUGGGGAGCGAACAGG